rnacentral:sRNA from 1 species
AAUAAACCUUGUUAGGUGAGGUUACUGUAUUAGAGAGACGCCACUGCCCAGAAACAUCCAAAGAUGCCAACGGGUCAGCAGAAAUUCUCGAAUUAAGGGAUUUUCUAAUGUGGCUGGAGCUACUCCUAUGCUAAUAAGUGCUAAAACUAUGCGAUGAGGUGUUUG